CGCCCGCCCUGCGCGGAACAAAGCCCGGCGCUCCCGCGCCGGCGCAGAGACCCAGCGGAGCGGCGGGAGCGCGCCUGACGUGGCGCAGAGGCGCAGGCUGAGGGAGCAGCAGCGGGCGAGGCGCCGGCCCGAGCCGGAGGUGGGGCCGCGGGGCCUGCAGACGUGGUAACGGCCUCUCCGCCGUGCAGCUGGGGCCGGAGGAAGCGCUUAAGGCUCUCUUUUUUGCUUCUGCUUUUUAAAACACAAAAUGUCUGAAGUUAAGCAGAGGAAAAAAAGUAUUUCUUCACCCAAGACCAAUGAAGAUCCACAAAAUGUUGAGAAGCACAUUAAGUGUGGGAAGCUGGCGAGCCCCAGGACCAGCAGUAACUGGAGUUCCUUUUGGAUGGACUCACGCACAACCUUGAGCAUAAUUUCCCUUGCUGGUUGCCUAGUGCUGACCUGGUUCCUAUUUCAGCAGUCAAAUCAAUUUGCUAAUAUGGAGAAAAAGUAUAAUUUUUUACAGCAAGAAGCUGAAAAAUUCCUGGAUGUGGAAAAUAAAGUUAACUUAAUUUCUGAAAAGCUUGAAUCUUCUGAAAGUAUCCUACGAGAAGCUGCCUCAUCCAUAUCUGUGAUGCCUGAGUUUGAGCAGGAAAUAUCUUCUCUUCAUAACAUCAUAAAUGAUAUUCAGAACAAUGAACAGACUCUCUCUAUAAAGAUGCAGAGCAUUAAUGAGAAGUUCCAAAAUGUUACAAGUUCCUGGAGAAGAAGCUUAGAUGAAAUGAACACAAACACGAGUGUUUUAAAAUCUGAAGCAAAGUUCAUACAUACAGAAGUUACUUCCCAAAUUAAUGAUGUUGACCAAAGAAUUAAAUCCCUUUCAGAAAGAGUAAGAGAUCUGGAAGACAGUACAGCCAGAAAUAUUAAAACACUGAAAAGGCAAGAAGAUGACGAAUUCUCUAGAGUUGAACAAAAGUUGGACUUGCAUGCAAGGGCAGUUGAAAAACUAGAAGAAGAACAGAAUAGUCUGGUAGCCAAGGACACAGACCUGAAUCAGAAACUUGCGAACUAUGAACCUAAAAUUGAGGAGUGCAAGACCCAUUUGCCAACAAUUGAAAAUGCUGUUCACUCUAUUCUUAGAUUAUCAAGUGAAUUGCUAAGCAUGGAGAAAAAGAUUAAGGAUGUGACAACACAGCUAUAUACUGUGGAAAAUGAUAUGUUGAAAAUGGUUUCUGAUACAAUAGCCAUGCAAAAGGUUCUCGAAGGCAUACAGCACAAUGACAGCAUAUUGAAAGUGCAAAAUGAAACAGUAGUUUUAGAAGUAGUGCAUGACCAGAAUGAGGAUAAGUGAAUUUGGACUUGAGGUUUUCAUUUAUGGAAGAGCACUGUAACUUAUUACAAAUGUUACUUCAACAUAUAUUAAGGAUAGCUGAAAUAUUGUCAUUAAUUUAAAUAGCAUUGGAUCAGAAUGAAAGGCAAAUUAGAGGGCAGAGAUCAAGAAAUACUGUAUUGAAGGAGGAGUGUUUUCUUAAGGCUAAUUUUUAGCUUAUUCGUUAAGUUUUUUAUUAAAAAGGAAUUUGAAGCAAAGUGUUUAGAUUUAAGGAAAAAAAGUCAAAACCAGAGACAGAGUACAAUUUAUAUUUAAUUUUCAAUAGUUUUUUAUAUUGUUACUUUUUGUGUUAACAUUCGAUUGUAGCACAAUGAACAAUUACGUCCUUCUCUCUAGGCAAAUAUAUACAUAUACCUCACUUUUAAGGUAUUAUAUACCAUAAUGUUUUUUGUGCUUCCGGUACAGCCUUCUCAAUAAGUACAUUUUUAACAUCUGAAGUUUAGAUACAACAGCAUUAUAGAAAAGAGUAGUAAAGUACCUCUUUACUGAGAACUUUGUCUUGUACUGGCAUUUAUAAGCAGGGUGUUGCAUAGGAGCUGUGUUACCUUUUAUUUAUUCGACCCCCUGCAAAUAGCCUCCUUAGACCUCAUUUCCAGCCUUUUCAAACUUCCUAAAAUCACUGGUGUGGUUUUGUUCUGCCAUUGAAGUUGUUUGACUACAUAUGGACUGAAGCUCUUAUUAACAGUGUGAAAAGACUUGGAACUUAAUGGAACAGCUGGAAGAUCUUAAAAUAAUUUCUCACAUUAAACAUGUGCAGGAAGAUACUUCUACAAUGAAAACGUGGUCUAGCAGCAUAGUUAAGAAACAAGAAGAGCUGCAGAAGAAUUUAACAUCCCUUUUUAAUGCAGUUUCAGGUGUUGAACAGAAUGCAGCUUCUGCAUCAAAAAACAUAACUUUGACAAUUGUGACCGUAAAAACUGACAUAAGGCGCAUUUCGGGCCUAGUCUCAGAUAUGACUGCCCUGGCAGAUUCUUUGCAAACGCUAGAGGAUAAGGUAGAAAAAGGUGAGAAGAAGACAGUAAAAAGUAUAGGUGACCUGCUUACCAGUAGCAUCGACCGAAGUGCAAAGCUACAAAGCUUGGCGUCCAGUAACGCAAGAAGAAUUGAGCAACUUAAGACAACAUUAUCUGAGUUACGGAGUGAUUUUAACAAGCAUUCGGAUAGACUUUUGGAUCUUGAAGGUGACAGAGCAAAAGUUCUGAAGACAGUUACAUUUGCAAAUGAUUUAAAACCCAAGAUGUACAAACUUAAAAAGGAUUUUGCCAUCUUGGAGCCAUUAAUAGGUGACCUAACACUGAGAAUAGGAAGAUUAGUGGAGGAUAUUUCACGACGGGAGAAGGAAAUCGCUUUACUGAAUGAGAAACUGACCAAUCUAACAAGAGUUCAGACUCAGAUCAAAGAUAUAAAAGAUGAAAUAACCCAGAUUUCAGAGAUGAACUGAUCACUGUGAAAUGACUUUGCCUAAAGAGUAGUACUACUUGACAAAUAUGAACUCCACGUGUAGUUUCAAGAAGACAGACAGUAUUUAAAGGCUUCACUUAGAAGCAAACCAAAACUUGACUAGAGAUUUGUCCUCUUCCUUCAAAAAGGACAGCAAAAAGCCAUACUGAUUUCAAGGGACAUGCUAUAAUGUGAGAAAAAAAAGUCUCUCUGCAUGUAUUUGUCCUUCUGAAGGAUGACAGAUGUUAUAUUUAAUAAAUUGCUUGUUUUGUACAAUGAAA